rnacentral:rRNA from 1 species
ACGGAAGGCAGCAGUGGGGAAUAUUGGGCAAUGGACGCAAGUCUGACCCAGCGACGCCGCGUGAGGGAAGAAGGUCUUCGGAUUGUAAACCUUAGUCAACAGGGAAGAAGAAAGUGACGGUACCUGUGGAGGAAGCCACGGCUAACUACGUGCCAGCAGCCGCGGUAAUACGUAGGUGGCAAGCGUUAUCCGGAUUUACUGGGUGUAAAGGGUGUGUAGGCGGGAUUGCAAGUCAGAUGUGAAAACUAUGGGCUUAACUCAUAGCCUGCAUUUGAAACUGCAGUUCUUGAGAGUCGGAGAGGUAAAUGGAAUUCCCGGUGUAGCGGUGAAAUGCUUAGAGAUCGGGAGGAACACCAGUGGCGAAGGCGAUUUACUGGACGACAACUGACGCUGAGACACGAAAGUGUGGGGAGCAAACAGGAUUAGAUACCCUGGUA